rnacentral:tRNA from 1 species
UAGGAUGUAGUGUAAAGGAAGCACAGGGGAUUUUGAGUUCCUUGGUAUAGGUUCAAGUCCUAUUGUUCUAGA